GCCGGUGUGGUGAAAUUGGUAGACACGCUAGAUUCAAAAUCUGGUUGCGCAAGCAGUGGCGGUUCGAGUCCGCCCACCGGUACCA
rnacentral:tRNA from 1 species